GGCAUCAAGAGCCUGCUUUGCCAUACUACUGCAAUCAACAAACCAUUGGGGCUUUAUCAUUGGCUCCACAACAUCAUUGCUUCUUGAACAACAGCCAAGUCGCAUCUCAUUGUUUUUAGCACCCAUAUACAAUCCCUUUUUCUGUAAUGCUUCCUUCACUGCCUCACGGGCCUUGAAACGUGGCAUCCCAGUGAACUCUGAGCCACCAUUGCUAUUAAUCUUACCAUCAUCAGUAAAAAUAUUAAUAAAUUCAAGAUUGUGACGCUUCCCAACCUCAAAAUCAUUUGGAUCAUGCGCUGGAGUGAUCUGCAGAAAAGGAAGGACUAUAGAAUAUUGACUUGCCAAAAAGACGUUUAAGACAAUUUUAGGGCCUGUUUGGUAUCCAUUCCCUUCUUGGAGUUUGGUUUACAUCGCUCAAUUGUCAAAGAAACGUGUAUCAAUAAAACAUAUCUAAUUUUAUUUUCUGGUGUUCUAUAACAGCAAAACAGGUUGGAACACGGGGGAAAAAAAGUAGUUUUUGUUGUUUUAUCAACUUGUUUUCCAAAAUAAUAAAUUUUCAAAAUUGGACAACAAAACCCAAAAACAGAAAUUGAUAUCAAACAGCCCUUUAGCAUUCUGAGUGCAGAAGCACAGUCUUACCUUGACAGCACCAGUCCCAAAAUUGGGAUCGACGAGAACAGCAUCACAAAUUAUAGGAAGUUUUCUUCCAUUAAAUGGAUGAAUUGCAAAUUUGCCAUGUAGAUGACUGUACCUUUGGUCAUCAGGAUGUAUGGCAAUAGCAGUAUCACCAAGCAUUGUUUCCAAUCUAGUUGUGGCAACAACAAUUUCACCCAAAUCUCCCUCCAAAGGAUAAGCAAAUAAGGUUAAAAGACCAAAUUCCACUGGCUUAUCAUAACCAGGAACCUUCAACAGUGUCUUCUCUUUGAUGUCAGUAUAAUCUACCUCAAUAUCAGAUAUAGCUGUUCGUAAGGUGCAAUCCCAAUUCACUAAUCGGAUAUCCCUAUAGAUGAGACGUUCCUUGUAUAGCCUAACAAAUUCCUCGAUCACAGCCUUUGAUCUUUUAUCAUCCAUUGUAAAACACUCACGAGACCAAUCAAGAGAGGCACCCAAACGACGCAGCUGUCUCAGUAUGGCACCCCCAUAAUCCUCCUUCCACUUCCACACUUCAGAAACAAAUUUCUCACGACCAAUAUCAUGUCUGGUUAGGUGGCGUUCACGCAUUAAUUUCUUCUCUACAACCACCUGUGUUGCUAUUCCAGCAUGGUCCACACCAGGUACCCACAAGGUAUUAUAUCCAGACAUUCUCCGCCAACGAAUGAUCAUAUCCUCUAUAGCAGCUGCAAGGGCAUGGCCUAUAUGUAGGGCCCCAGUCACAUUUGGUGGUGGAAGAACUAUGGUAAAUGAUGGUUUGGAGCUUUUUGCAUCAGCUGUAAAAUAACCUGACUUUUCCCACCACGCAUACCAUGAUUUCUCCACAGCAGUUGGAUUAUAUUGUUUUGCCAUUUGUGCAGAAAGCCUUUUCUUAUCACCAGAAGGAGUCUCUGGGUCAACAUAAUCUUCAGGAUUCUCUUCACCUCCAGCAUCUCGCCUAGCAUUCUUUUUAGCAGAACUCUUUUUUGAAGCAUUAUUGGAUUCUUGUUGUGCCUUAAAUUUAGCUGCUUUUUCAGCUGCCUUAAGUUUCUUCAAUUCCUUUUCCCUAGCCUUUUCUUCUUUCUUCUUCUUGCGAUCAAGGUCCUCUUGGGUUUCAGUCUUCUUUUCUGCUACUGACAUGUUUCUUUGUUUGAGAUUUUAUAGAAGAAUGAGAAAUAGGGUGCGUGAUCAACAAUGACGCGUGACUGGAGUUCUGACAGGAAAGUUGUUGGCUUCUGGCUCCCCCUUUCUCCAAUUAAACCUUCGAUUCGAUUUUGAUAAGGGAGAGGAGCAGGCAGCUAUUUAGGGCUACUUGCGUUCUUUAGUUCGAUUACAAUCGCCACGGCGAUAGCUUCACAGUGGAGAACGAGGCGUCGGCGACGGUGAUGGAGAAAGACAAUGAAGGCGAUGUGAGGGAGCAGAACAAUGAAGGAUGGAAGCGAAGACGUCAAAGCGAGGAAAGAAAGCGAUGGGGACGGUGAAGGAGAAAGGCAAAUGGUGAACGGCUACGAAGGACGACGGCUGUGGCGGCUUUGAAGUGGCGCGGCACUGGGACGACUUACGACUUACGACUUACGACUUACGACUU
rnacentral:misc_RNA from 1 species